rnacentral:tRNA from 1 species
GGAUGAAUGGCUGAGUGGUUGAAAGCACCAAUUUUGAAAAUUGGCAUAAAUUUAAUUUAUCAUAGGUUCGAAUCCUAUUUCAUCUGUCA